AAUUGUUCGCAAUGGGCGCAAGCCUGACGACGCAACGCCGCGUGGAGGAUGAAGAUCUUCGGGUCGUAAACUCCUGUCGAGCGGGACGAACAUUCUCCGGGUGAAUAUCCUGGAGAACUGACGGUACCGCUAAAGGAAGCCCCGGCUAACUCCGUGCCAGCAGCCGCGGUAAUACGGGGGGGGCAAGCGUUGUUCGGAAUUACUGGGCGUAAAGGGCUCGUAGGCGGCCAACUAAGUCACACGUGAAAUCCCUCGGCUCAACCGGGGAACUGCGUGUGAGACUGGAUGGCUUGAGUUUGGGAGAGGAAUGCGGAAUUCCAGGUGUAGCGGUGAAAUGCGUAGAUAUCUGGAGGAACACCGGUGGCGAAGGCGGCAUUCUGGACCAAUACUGACGCUGAGGAGCGAAAGCCAGGGGAGCAAAC
rnacentral:rRNA from 1 species